rnacentral:rRNA from 1 species
GCCAGAGCCAUAUCACCCUGUAGCUCUCACCUGGUUUCCCACUGAAGCUAAGCAGGGUUGGGCCUAGCCAGUAGCUGGAUAGGAGACCUCCUAGGGAAAACUAAGUUUGCAACUGAAA